UUGUUCUAAAUAUUCCAUCCCGCAGCCUCAAUCUGACUCAACCGAUCUUAGCAAUAUGGAAAAAUUUGUAGUUUUCCAUUACAACUCCACCUUACUGAGCAGCCUCAUAUGUCUGAAAUAAAUUCCUAUCAGAACACAUAUGGUACGAACAUGUUGAAUCAAUAAUCCACUCCUCGUCAGGCAUAGACUCCAUAUUAGAUACCACAAUCAACUUUACCUAGUUACUAUCUGAACAAUUCUCAACUACAUUGAUUUUCAUCUGAAUUCAAAGGUUGCACCCCACGAUUUCAGUUAAAUCACCUUUAGCUUGUAACAUAUCACAAUCCUUUCGAAUAUGUCCUUUUCUUUUGUAGAAGUAACAUGUCACAUUACUAAAUCUAACCCUCGAUCUGCCUCUUCGUCGACCACUUUGAGAUAUAAGAGCUUCCCCAUCCCUUGAUGUAGCUCCAACCAAAUGCUUCAUCUUCUCAUUUGAGUGCAAAGCAUCAUAAACAUCUUUAUAGUCAAACUAUCUCCACUAUACAAGAUAGUAUCCCAAAAUAAUGCAUAAGACCUAAGCAGCGAACACAACAAGAUCAAGGCAAGAUCCUCUUCAUCAACUAUUUCCUUGAACACAGCAAUGUGAUCUUCCAAUGAUCCUCCUUCCGCCAUGCAAUGGGAAUACAUCUUCUGCUUAAGAGCCAGUUUACUUGUAAGACUCUUAGUCAUACACAACUACUCUAGUCGCAACCACAAAGCAACCGUCGUCUUCUCCUUCAAGACAUUUUGCAGAAUAUUGUUGGAUAAAAAAAGAUGAAUCAACGACAUAGCCUUUCGAUCCUUUCACUAUUUUUCCUUCGUUGUCCAUCCAGCUGGCAUCCUGUCAAAAUCUCACAACGCAUCUUCCAAACCCAACUGUGCCGAACAACCCUCAUCUUUACUUGCCACAACAAGAACCUUGUACUACAAUCUAAUUGCGGAAUAUCAUACUUCAACCCAACUAUCUCGAAAAAAAUCUCAACCAAUCCGUAGAAAUUCAACGGCCUCGUUCUAACACCACUUGUUUGGUGCGAAAGCUCCAAUAACAUUAGUUGAUUCCAAAUCAGAUUUUAAGGAAUGAGAUUAUAAGACAAUAUUGAAGUAAACAAGAUCACACAACGAAAAAAGGUUUAAAUUGUAAAGAGGAACAAAAGGAUUAACAUAGAGAAACGAUGUUUAUUGAAUCAACAAUAUGGAGAAUACAAAGCAAUCUAGCAAUUGGCUUAGAACUGACAGAAGAGUCUUGUAUUUAGAGGCCAACCUUAUAAGAGUCCUAAAAGGCAACAAAAUAUAUUAAAAUUAGGAGACCGAAUUUUAACAUAAUUUUGUUUCCUUUU
rnacentral:lncRNA from 1 species